AUAAUACCCCCGGCGUAAAACACGACUAAAAAUCAGUCCAACAUUAGAAAGAAAGCCAAGCUAGGCUGUAAAAAGCCAUAAGCCACACUAACCACCUAACAACAAACAAAUUCCACUCGUGAAAGCUAGGACACAAACUAAGAUUAGAUACCUUACUAUGCCCAGCCAUAACACAACAAUUAAAUCACCCAUUGUUCGCCAAAUAACUACGAGUGAAAACUUAAAAUUUAAAAGACUUGACGGUAUCUCAUAACAACCUAGAGGAGCCUGUCCAAUAACCGAUACCCCACGAUCAACCCAACCCACCCUAGCCCAACAGUCUAUAUACCGCCGUCGCCAGCCUACCUUGUGAAAGAAACAAAGUGAGCCCAAUAGUUACCCACUAAUACGACAGGUCGAGGUGUAACUCAUGGGUGGGCCCAAGAUGGGCUACAUUUUCUAACACAGAAAAUACGAAUAAACUAUGAAAUAAGAAACUGAAGGUGGAUUUAGCAGUAUAUAAGGAAUAAACAUACCUAAUUGAAAUUAACGCAAUGAGAUGCGUACACACCGCCCGUCAUCCCUGCCAACAAACAAUAAACCGUCCAUAAA
rnacentral:rRNA from 1 species